rnacentral:rRNA from 1 species
CCCCUAGAUGUUCUGGGCCGCACGCGCGCUACACUGAACAGUUCAACAAGUCUUAACCUUGGCCGAUAGGUCUGGGUAAUCUUUGAACGCUGUUCGUGAUUGGGAUAGACCUUUGCAAUUAUGGGUCUUCAACGAGGAAUUCCUAGUAAACGCAGGUCAUCAGCUUGCAUUGAUUACGUCCCUGCCCUUUGUACACACCGCCCGUCGCACCUACCGAUUGAAUGGUCCGGUGAAAUCUCGGGACGGCGGCUUGGUCGCUUGCGUCCGACUGCUGAAACUUGAUUAAACCAUAUCAUUUAGAGGAAGGUGAANUCGUAACA